rnacentral:rRNA from 1 species
AACGAACGCUGGCGGCAGGCUUAACACAUGCAAGUCGAACGCAUCGCAAGAUGAGUGGCAGACGGGUGAGUAACGCGUGGGAACAUACCCUUUUCUACGGAAUAGCUCUGGGAAACUGGAAUUAAUACCGUAUACGCACUACGGGGGAAAGAUUUAUCGGGGAAGGAUUGGCCCGCGUUGGAUUAGCUAGUUGGUGGGGUAAAGGCCUACCAAGGCGACGAUCCAUAGCUGGUAUGAGAGGAUGAUCAACCACAUUGGGACUGAGACACGGCCCAAACUCCGACGGGAGGCAGCAGUGGGGAAUAUUGGACGAUGGGCGCAAGCCUGAUCCAGCCAUGCCGCGUGAGUGAUGAAGGCCUUAGGGUUGUAAAGCUCUUUCACCGAUUAAGAUAAUGACGGUAGUCGGAGAAGAAGCCCCGGCUAACUUCGUGCCAGCAGCCGCGGUAAGAC